CUCGUUGUGGUCUAGUGGUUAGGAUUUAUGGCUCUCACUUAUAAGGCCGGGGUUCGAUUCCCCUCAACGGAA
rnacentral:tRNA from 1 species